rnacentral:rRNA from 1 species
GACGAACGCUGGCGGCGUGCCUAAUACAUGCAAGUCGAACGCAGUGGGGACGGGUGAGUGACACGUGGGUAACCUCCCAUCAGAGGGGAUAACACUUGGAAAAAGGUGCUAAACCGAUACGGGUGGAUGGACCCGCGGUGCAUUAGCUAGUUGGGGAGGUAACGGCUCACCAGGGCCACGAUGCAUAGCCGAUCUGAGAGGGUGAUCGGCCACACUGGAACUGAGACACGGCCCAGACUCCUACGGGAGGCAGCAGUAGGGAAUCUUCGGCAAUGGGCGAAAGUCUGACCGAGCAACGCCGCGUGAGUGAAGAAGGUUUUCGGGUCGUAAAGCUCUGUUGUUAGGGAAGCGGUACCUAACCAGAAAGCCACGGCUAACUACGUGCCAGCAGCCGCGGUAAUAC